UGAGGCUUGGAAUUUUGACUGCGGAGCUGGCUAGUAGCUGUGGAUCUGUUAUGUGCCUUUCGCAAGCUCAGUGUUUUUGUAAUGAUGUCCCAGUUAAAUGCUUCCUUAUGGAUGCUCUUUCUACUUGUUGAUACUUUGCACAAUGAUUUCAAAUAUCAUACGUUUUUGACUAGUUAUCAUGUCCACUUAGUUAUAUAAAUGAGGCCAAAAUAUUAUUUCUUUGAUAUGAUGAGCAGCAAUUAAAUUUUUUUUGAACUGAUGAGCAGCAAUUUAUUGUAUUGACGUUAGGCUUGGUUUCUUGGAAAAUAUGGGUGACUUGUAUCCCUUUGUUUUUUGACAUCCGUGACUUGAAUCCUUUCACACUCCUUUUCAUGUCAUUUAACACUGGUAGCCUGGAUGAUUGGCAGGACCUUUCACACGUCGUUAUU
rnacentral:lncRNA from 1 species